UUAUAAUGAAUUUUUAUUUUCAUGUUUAGCGGGGAGAUAAACCCCUGAUUUUUUUGUUAUUGUCGGAAAACCCACCCAUCAACUUUACAGUGAUUUAUAAAAUAUUUCAAAUAUAUGCGCAAAAACAAAGGUGUCUUUGUUGAAUUUUCAAAAGAAAAAAAUAUAUAUUUUUAAGUUAGAUGUACAUCAACGUCUCAAACCCGCUGCAUGAGAUGAGCUCUGGUCCGACCUGGUGUGUUUUCUGGUUCCCACCCUGAAACAACUUAAAUUUGCAUUAACGUUAGACGCACUACCACGAUUCGGUCCUGCUGACCUGGUAUGUUAUCUGGUCCCCACCCCGAACCAACGUAGCGUGACAUUAACGGAGAAUUCUGAGUACCGGAUCGACACGCAGCUGCGAUAUCUAACUCACGAGAACUUCCUCGUCGCCCAAGAAACCUCCCUCGUCGGAGAAUUCUGAGUACCGGAUCGACACGCAGCUGCGAUAUCUAACUCACGAGAACUUCCUCGUCGCCCAAGAGACCUUCCUCGUCGGAACGGGAUAGAAAUACUCCCUUCUGCACCAUCUAUUGCUUUCCGACCUCAAGUCGGUCAUUUAAAAUCACUGUGCAUGAUUAACAUCCCAUGUUAACUCAGUCACAUAUAAAGUCUUGAUCUUGAUUACGUAGGCCGGCAAAUUUUACAAUCCAGAACAGUUUUACCUGAUCCAUUUCUUAAACAGUUUAUAAAUUUUAAACUUAAUUAAAUGAUUUAUCUGAUCUCACACGCACAAUCUUAAACCCAUCGUAGAAUCUUCAUAGCAUCUCUUGAACAACUGUACAGAGCUACUAGCUAUAAAGUUAUAGCUAUUAUAUAUUCCUGUAAAACAAUUGUUUUUUCGUAUAUAGUAACUCUGUUAAUAAUUACAUAUAAAUUUUGUUAACCGAAAUAACCUUACGAAAAUAAAAAAUAUUUAGAUUUAAAAAAAAA
rnacentral:lncRNA from 1 species